GAUGAACGCUGGCGGCGUGCCUAAUACAUGCAAGUCGAGCAAACGGACGAGAAGCUUGCUUCUCUGAUGUUAGCGGCGGACGGGUGAGUAACACGUGGAUAACCUACCUAUAAGACUGGGAUAACUUCGGGAAACCGGAGCUAAUACCGGAUAAUAUUUUGAACCGCAUGGUUCAAAAGUGAAAGACGGUCUUGCUGUCACUUAUAGAUGGAUCCGCGCUGCAUUAGCUAGUUGGUAAGGUAACGGCUUACCAAGGCAACGAUGCAUAGCCGACCUGAGAGGGUGAUCGGCCACACUGGAACUGAGACACGGUCCAGACUCCUACGGGAGGCAGCAGUAGGGAAUCUUCCGCAAUGGGCGAAAGCCUGACGGAGCAACGCCGCGUGAGUGAUGAAGGUCUUCGGAUCGUAAAACUCUGUUAUUAGGGAAGAACAUAUGUGUAAGUAACUGUGCACAUCUUGACGGUACCUAAUCAGAAAGCCACGGCUAACUACGUG
rnacentral:rRNA from 1 species